rnacentral:rRNA from 1 species
UACGUAGGGGGCAAGCGUUGUCCGGAUUUAUUGGGCGUAAAGAGCUCGUAGGUGGUUCGGUAAGUCGGAUGUGAAAUCUCCAGGCUCAACCUGGAGGGGUCAUUCGAUACUGCCGUGACUAGAGGUCGGUAGGGGAGUGUGGAAUUCCUGGUGGAGCGGUGAAAUGCGUAGAUAUCAGGAGGAACACCGGUGGCGAAGGCGGCUACCUGGACAGAAACUGACGCUGAGGCGCGAAAGCUAGGGGAGCAAACAGG